UGGGGAAUCUUGCGCAAUGGCCGAGAGGCUGACGCAGCGACGCCGCGUGGGGGAGGAAGGGCUUCGGCUCGUAAACCCCUGUUGCCCGGGACGAACAGCCUGUUUCGACAGGCCUGACGGUACCGGGUGAGGAAGCACCGGCUAACUCCGUGCCAGCAGCCGCGGUAAUACGGAGGGUGCGAGCGUUGUCCGGAAUCACUGGGCGUAAAGGGCGCGUAGGCGGUUUCUCAAGCGCGUGGUGAAAGCCCGGGGCUCAACCCCGGGUCGGCCGUGCGAACUGGGAGACUCGAGCACUGUAGAGGCGGGUGGAAUUCCGGGUGUAGCGGUGGAAUGCGUAGAGAUCCGGAAGAACACCGGUGGCGAAGGCGGCCCGCUGGGCAGUGAGGGGCAACCCUCUGAAAGCUGACGCUGAGGCGCGACAGCGUGGGGAGCAAACAGG
rnacentral:rRNA from 1 species